UGGCGGCGCGCCUAACACAUGCAAGUCGAACGGCACCCAUCCUCGGAUGGAGGCGAGUGGCGAACGGCUGAGUAACACGUGGAGAACCUGCCCCCACCCCGGGGAUAGCCGCGGGAAACCGCGGGUAAUACCCGAUGACCCCCGGAGGCCGCAUGGCCCCCGGGGCAAAGCCCAGACGGGAGGGGAUGGCUCCGCGGCCCAUCAGGUAGACGGCGGGGUGACGGCCCACCGUGCCGACGACGGGUAGCCGGGUUGAGAGACCGACCGGCCAGAUUGGGACUGAGACACGGCCCAGACUCCUACGGGAGGCAGCAGUGGGGAAUCUUGCGCAAUGGGGGGAACCCUGACGCAGCGACGCCGCGUGCGGGAUGGAGGCCUUCGGGUCGUAAACCGCUUUCAGCAGGGAUGAGACAAGACGGUACCUGCAGAAGAAGCCCCGGCUAACUACGUGCCAGCAG
rnacentral:rRNA from 1 species